rnacentral:rRNA from 1 species
UACGUAGGGGGCAAGCGUUGUCCGGAAUCAUUGGGCGUAAAGAGCGUGUAGGCGGCCAGAUAAGUCCGCUGUGAAAUCUCGAGGCUCAACUUCGAGCUGUCGGUGGAAACUGUCUGGCUAGAGUCCGGAAGAGGAGAAUGGAAUUCCUGGUGUAGCGGUGGAAUGCGCAGAUAUCAGGAGGAACACCGAUGGCGAAGGCAGCUCGCUGGGACGGUACUGACGCUGAGGCGCGAAGCGUGGGGAGCGAACAGG